UUUAUGUAUUAAGUUUACUACUAUCUUUGGUUUGCAGUGUUGACUCACCUGUGGAGUGGUCUGAGCCUGAAUGCCCGGGGCUGUGGCCACCGAGUGAACGGGCUGUGCUAAGGGGAAUUGCCACCUUGGGAAACCUGUGUAGUUGCGGCUUUUCUGAUUAAGUAUCAAUAAAAGUCUGACCUUGUGAAAAAAGCAAACGUGAGUGGCCCUGCUUAUGUUUCACCUUGCGUUGCUCAGUGAUAGUUCUGCAAAGUCGCAGGAAACCUGGAAUCAUCUAAUUAUCGUGAGUGUUGGUUCCUUAUUUAAUAAUGUCUAGUUGAUUCAUU
rnacentral:lncRNA from 10 species